UNGACAGACAGGCAAGCUUAACAUGGAA
rnacentral:piRNA from 1 species